GAUGAACGCUGGCGGCGUGCCUAAUACAUGCAAGUCGAGCGAACGGACGAGAAGCUUGCUUCUCUGAUGUUAGCGGCGGACGGGUGAGUAACACGUGUAUAACCUACCUAUAAGACUGGGAUAACUUCGGGAAACCGGAGCUAAUACCGGAUGAUAUUUUGAACCGCAUGGUUCAAAAGUGAAAGACGGUCUUUCUGUCACUUAUAGAUGGAUCCGCGCUGCAUUAGCUAGUUGGUAAGGUAACGGCUUACCAAGGCAACGAUGCAUAGCCGACCUGAGAGGGUGAUCGGCCACACUGGAACGGAGACACGGACCAGACUCCUACGGGAGGCAGCAGUAGGGAAUCUUCCGCAAUGGGCGAAAGCCUGACGGAGCAACGCCGCGUGAGUGAUGAAGGUCUUCGGAUCGUAAAACUCUGUUAUUAGGGAAGAACAUAUGUGUAAGUAACUGUGCACAUCUUGACGGUACCUAAUCAGAAAGCCACGGCUAACUACGUG
rnacentral:rRNA from 1 species